rnacentral:rRNA from 1 species
AAUAUUGCGCAAUGAACGAAAGUCUGACGGAGCAAUGCCGCGUGAGCGAUGAAGGCCNNNGGGUCNUCAAGCUCUGUUGUUAGNGACNAACAAGUAUCGGAGUAAUAUGCCGGUACCUUGACGGUACCUAACCAGAAAGCCCCGGCUAACUACGUGCCAGCAGCCGCGGUAAUACGUAGGGGGCAAGCGUUGUCCGGAAUUAUUGGGCGUAAAGGGCACGACGGCGGUUUCUUAAGUCUGAUGUGAAAUCUCGUAGCUUAACUCCGAGCGGUCAUUGGAAACUGGGAGACUUGAGUGCAGAAGAGGAGAGUGGAAUUCCACGUGUAGCGGUGAAAUGCGUAGAGAUGUGGAGGAACACCAGUGGCGAAGGCGACUCUCUGGUCUGUAACUGACGCUGAGGUGCGAAAGCGUGGGUAGCGAACA